rnacentral:misc_RNA from 1 species
AAAUUACACUUUGUAUUAAAUUAUUUUUCCUUGAAGGGUGUAUAUAAUUCUACCAUGACAAACAAUUGUGGACGGAGGGAGUAUACCCCUUGAUCCUUCUCAUGAAUCAUGAUGUAGAGCAAGAGCAAAUGCAACAUCAAAAUGAGUAAACCUGGUUUUUUUCAUAACAUUAACUGGCUGUAAUAUAAAUAACAAAGCUAAAACUGAAUAAUCAAUUAAAUUCAAAAUAGCAAGGUAGAACCUGCAACUGAUAGAAGCAUCUUCCCUCCGUCAAAGACGAUCUGCUAAAGUUUUCCAGCAAAGGCUUAACAAUAACAAUUUAAACAAAGGAGAAGAUAGGGAGUUGCACAUAGCAUCAUUAUAACCGCGCAUUGGUGCAUCUUACUACCAUCCUUCUCAUCUUUCAUUAUUUUUCUGAUGGUAUCACUCCAAGAUUAUUUUCUUUUGUAGGGUUGCCUCAUCUGAGCAUAGGUGCAUCUGAUUGUCAUCCCCAUCAAGAGAUUCUACUUCCUCUGGAAUCACUUUCGGAAUAUUCUGCAGCGCAAGUUCCAGCUCUCGAGCAAUCCUAUGAUUCGUGAUGUCCUCAUGAAGAAUUUUAGCCCUUUGUUCAAGCUCCACAACUGUAAGCUUUUUAAAAAUCCCAUCUUUGACUUUCUUUCUGAACUCAUCACAUUCUUCAUUAGAAAAUUCAUCAUCAGAAAGCGUGUUCAAGCAAACAUUUUUUGCGAUAUUUGAAACUUGAAUUGAACUCUUGCAACAGCAGUUAUCGCUUGAUACAGGCUGGAUCCCUGUAAUUUGCACAAGCUGAUGAGAGUUGCGCUGUGGAUCUAACUUGACCAGAACAAAACUUCCUAUAAUCUUGG